rnacentral:lncRNA from 1 species
GGCUAAUUAUUGCUUCUUCCAGGAUUCUUUAUGAGAUAUCGAUCAAAAUGUUUUCUCAAAACUGUAGGUUAUGACAUUUCGUACACCCCUAGUUUUUUAAUGGAGUUCGUGUUGUUUAUUCUUUAGUUUUCUAUGUUGUGUCAUGUGUACUAUUGUUUUUCUGUUUGUCUUUUUCAUUUUUAGCCAUGGCGUUGUCAGUUUGUUUUAUAUUUAUGAGUUUGACUGUCCGUUUGGUAUCUUUCGUCCCUCUUUUCGUAACAUAUAUAUUCGGAUACAACGGUGUGCAUAUUGAAAUUUGCUGAUGUCAUAUUGAAUUAGCUUUAUACAAUUCGUUUACCAUUCAUAAUUCAUGUCUUUAUUGUAAAACAUUGAAAUGUACUAACUCAGUUGUAUUUUGUAUACUGUGGUUAGUUUUUUA